rnacentral:rRNA from 1 species
CUAUGGGCUGCUCCAGUGGGGAAUAUUGCACAAUGGAGGAAACUCUGAUGCAGCAACGCCGCGUGGAGGAUGACACUUUUCGGAGCGUAAACUCCUUUUAUAUAGGAAGAAGAUGACGGUACUAUAUGAAUAAGCGCCGGCUAACUCCGUGCCAGCAGCCGCGGUAAUACGGAGGGCGCAAGCGUUACUCGGAAUCACUAGGCGUAAAGAGCGUGUAGGCGGAUUAAAAAGUCAGAAGUGAAAUCCUAUAGCUUAACUAUAGAACUGCUUCUGAAACUCUUAAUCUAGAAUAUGGGAGAGGUAGAUGGAAUUUCUGGUGUAGGGGUAAAAUCCGUAGAGAUCAGAAGGAAUACCGAUUGCGAAGGCGAUCUACUAGAACAUUAUUGACGCUGAGACGCGAAAGCGUGGGGAGCAAACAGGAUUAGAUACCCGAGUAGUC